rnacentral:rRNA from 1 species
AGGGGGCUAGCGUUGCUCGGAAUCACUGGGCGUAAAGGGUGCGUAGGCGGGGCUUUAAGUCAGGGGUGAAAUCCUGGAGCUUAACUCCGAAACUGCAUUCGAUACUGCCGUGCUUGAGGACUGGAGAGGAGACUGGAAUUUACGGUGUAGCGGUGAAAUGCGUAGAUAUCGUAAGGAAGACCAGUGGCGAAGGCGGGUCUCUGGACAGUUCCUGACGCUGAGGCACGAAGGCCAGGGGAGCAAACGGG